rnacentral:antisense_RNA from 18 species
CUCAAUGGUGGCUGUGCGUAGGGCACGUUCGCGUGCGCCGGUCUUCUCAGUUCCUCCGGUCUGUCAACCUACGCACAGCUGCCACCC